rnacentral:misc_RNA from 1 species
GUGACAAUACCAUUGGCAUCAAUAUCAAAAGUCACCUCAAUCUGAGGCAUACCCCUUGGUGCUGGUGGAAUACCCAUAAGUUCAAACUCUCCCAAUAGCUUGUUGUCAGAUGCCAUUUCACGCUCACCUUGGAGUACCUUGAUACCAACCUGGGUCUGGUUAUCAGCGGCUGUAGAGAAGACCUGACUCUUCUUAGUAGGAAUUGUUGUGUUCCUGUUGAUCAACCUUGUGAAUAUCCCACCAAGAGUCUCAAUACCAAGCGAUAGAGGAGUAACAUCCAGGAGCAGCAACUCUUUGACAUCUCCACGAAGAAUACCAC